UACGUAGGGUGCGAGCGUUAAUCGGAAUUACUGGGCGUAAAGCGUGCGCAGGCGGUCUGUUAAGACCGAUGUGAAAUCCCCGGGCUCAACCUGGGAACUGCAUCUGUGACUGCAUAGCUAGAGUACGGUAGAGGGGGAUGGAAUUCCGCGUGUAGCAGUGAAAUGCGUAGAUAUGCGGAGGAACACCGAUGGCGAAGGCAAUCCCCCUGGGCG
rnacentral:rRNA from 1 species